GAUGAAUGCUGGCGGCGUGCCUAAUACAUGCAAGUCGAGCGGUAACAGGGGGUCUCACCGUUUCCUUGACACACCUAGCGCUAUUUCGUAGGUUGUGCAAACUUCGAGGGAACAGUGAGACCCUGCUGACGAGCGGCGGACGGCUGAGUAACGCGUGGGAACGGACCCCAAACUGAGGGAUAACUACUCGAAAGAGUGGCUAAUACCGCAUAUGAUCUUCGGAUUAAAGUCUUCGGACGGUUUGGGACUGGCCUGCGUACGAUUAGAUAGUUGGUAGAGUAAUGGCCUACCAAGUCGACGAUCGUUAGAUGGUUUGAGAAGAUGAUCAUCCAGACUGGGACUGAGACACGGCCCAGACUCC
rnacentral:rRNA from 1 species